rnacentral:rRNA from 1 species
UAGUGAGUUUGAUCCUGGCUCAGGACGAACGCUGGCGGCGUGCUUAACACAUGCAAGUCGAACGGAGACCUUCGGGUCUUAGUGGCGGACGGGUGAGUAACGCGUGAGAAUCUGCCCUCAGGAUGGGGACAACGACUGGAAACGGUCGCUAAUACCCGAUGUGCCGCAAGGUGAAAGAUUUAUCGUCUGAGGAAGAGCUCGCGUCUGAUUAGCUAGUUGGUGGGGUAAGAGCCUACCAAGGCGACGAUCAGUAGCUGGUCUGAGAGGAUGAUCAGCCACACUGGGACUGAGA